rnacentral:rRNA from 1 species
GAGCGAAUCGAUGGGAGCUUGCUCCCUGAGAUUAGCGGCGGACGGGUGAGUAACACGUGGGCAACCUGCCUAUAAGACUGGGAUAACUUCGGGAAACCGGAGCUAAUACCGGAUACGUUCUUUUCUCGCAUGAGAGAAGAUGGAAAGACGGUUUACGCUGUCACUUAUAGAUGGGCCCGCGGCGCAUUAGCUAGUUGGUGAGGUAAUGGCUCACCAAGGCGACGAUGCGUAGCCGACCUGAGAGGGUGAUCGGCCACACUGGGACUGAGACACGGCCCAGACUCCUACGGGAGGCAGCAGUAGGGAAUCUUCCGCAAUGGACGAAAGUCUGACGGAGCAACGCCGCGUGAACGAAGAAGGCCUUCGGGUCGUAAAGUUCUGUUGUUAGGGAAGAACAAGUACCAGAGUAACUGCUGGUACCUUGACGGUACCUAACCAGAAAGCCACGGCUAACUACGUGCCAGCAGCCGCGGUAAUACGUAGGUGGCAAGCGUUGUCCGGAAUUAUUGGGCGUAAAGCGCGCGCAGGUGGUUCCUUAAGUCUGAUGUGAAAGCCCACGGCUCAACCGUGGAGGGUCAUUGGAAACUGGGGAACUUGAGUGCAGAAGAGGAAAG